GCCUGCGCAGUGAGCGCCGCCCCCGCGCCGUGCCGUGGCGGAGCUGCGUGAGGAGAUGGCGGCGGCGGCGGCGGGGUCGCGGCGCCGGGAGCAGGCGGCGGCGGAGCGGGACGCGGCGGCGGUGGCGGCGCCGGCGCUGUCGGGGCAGUCGUACUGGCUGGACCUGUGGCUCUUCGUCCUCUUCGACCUGGCGCUGUUCGUGUUCAUCUACCUGCUGCCCUGAGGGCCGCGGAGAGCGGCGGGAGCCGCCCGGCAGGAGGCGGCCGUGGGGAGCCGCCGCUCGCACCUGGGGACCUCCCGAGGCGGGAGCCGUGCCCGCCCCGCGCUGUGCACUCGGAGACCACGGGACGGGACGGCUGCGCCUUUGUGCCUGAGUAUCUGUGGAGACGCGUGCUCUUUGUAAAAAAAGCGAGCGGCAGGACGGACUGUACUGACAAUAAAAUGCGGCUCUCAUGGAGACGGGAAUUGUAACGCAGGCCUUAUUGCUUGAAAGAUGAAAUGUAGCUCUGCUGUCUCACGUUGACCCCACUGACUGAGUUAGUCAGUGCUGAGCACCUGGCUGGGAACAGCGAAGGAGGGAGGUUAUGAGAAGAGCCUUCCUAGGCAGGUUACAUGUGAAGAACGCUGCUCCCUAAAUCUGUGAGCAGCUGUAAGCAGUACCAGCCCUUCAACUUCUGUGUUUCCCCAUCAGAAUUUUGUAAGCUAAGUACACAGAGUAAGAUCUUUACCAGAUUAUCAGGUUUUAGAAAUAAAAUCUUUAACUAUGGGUGGAAGCAGUUCAGUUGCCUUGUGUAGUUUUCCCUUGUAAAUACCCUUAAUUGUGAGAAGUAUAUGUAUAUAUAUAUUUUUUUUUUUCCCUGGGAAUAGAUAGAAAAUAUAACUGGACUUCAGAGACUCAAGUGUAGGGCAUUCAGCAUCCUCUAACACAUUGAGAAGAGGCUGCUAUUGAGUUAAAUAGGUUUCAAGUCAUGAAAGUGGGUACACUUUUUUUUUUUAUUCCUAAACAAUUCUUCAGUUGAUAAUAGCUUCACUUAUCUAUCAGGUUCAUGCGUUCAGAAGUGAGCUUAAAGCUUUAUACCUAUACCUGCUAGUAUUUAUGACAGGGGUUGGUAGUACUCGUUAAAAAGUGGUUUUAGCAUUUCUGACUCAGGAUAGAAAAAAACUGAACUAUGUUUGCAUUCUCACACAGAGGAAAAUUGUUUUUUAACUUUUAUUUCAAAUGAGACUAUUAAAGAGACAAGUUCGC